GGGUGGGGAAACAGGUGUGCAGAAUGUUCCAGAUCUGUGUUUGCUAAGGGUGAAGAACGUGUCUCAAGGAAGAAAAAACGGUUGUUCACCAUUCUUUUUAUCAUUUGUUACUAAAUGUGAUUAUUUAUUUAUUACUGUA